AACGAACGCUGGCGGCAGGCUUAACACAUGCAAGUCGAACGCAUCCUUCGGGGUGAGUGGCAGACGGGUGAGUAACGCGUGGGAACGUGCCCUUCAGUUCGGGAUAACCCAGGGAAACUUGGGCUAAUACCGGAUACGUGCGAGAGCAGAAAGAUUUAUCGCUGAAGGAUCGGCCCGCGUCUGAUUAGCUAGUUGGUGGGGUAAUGGCCCACCAAGGCGACGAUCAGUAGCUGGUCUGAGAGGAUGAUCAGCCACAUUGGGACUGAGGCACGGCCCAAACUCCUACGGGAGGCAGCAGUGGGGAAUAUUGGACAAUGGGCGCAAGCCUGAUCCAGCCAUGCCGCGUGAGUGAUGAAGGCCUUAGGGUUGUAAAGCUCUUUCGUCCGGGACGAUAAUGACGGUGCCGGAAGAAGAAGCCCCGGCUAACUUCGUGCCAGCAGCCGCAGUAA
rnacentral:rRNA from 1 species